GCCUAACAAAAUAGAAACGAAAAAAUGAAAAAAAAACACAAAACCUAACAUUAUUACCCAGUCAAAUCAGACAGCCUGGGCACAUUAAAAUCUCUCUUUUUCAUGCUGAAUCAUCACAUCUGUUUGGCAGAAAAAAAUUUCCAAAACGUUCUUUCUUCAAUCCUGUUACCAUUUUCAAUUCUCUUUCUUUUUGAAAUUUUCUUCAAUCCAGGUUUCUUAACCAUUCCUCUUCCAUGGCUUCUUCGUUGUAGAUCGACUCAUCUCUAACCAGGUACCUCUUUUCCCCAUUUGCUAAUGUUUCUUUCGCUAUUUUGUGGGCUUGAAAGUUCUCUGAUUUUUGAAUAAACUGAAAAUCUAUUUCUUGAAAUAGCGAACUAUGACUCUUGAUAUCUUUGAUAACUACUCCAAUGAUCGAUUUAUCCAUCUCUGCCGAUUGACAUUUUUUAAUGACUGUCUUCGAAUCUCCCCUUAUUGUGACUGAUCGGGGGCCCAGUGAAAUACCCAGCUUGAUUGCUUGUAAACAAGCGAAUGCCUCUGCAAGAAAUGGGGAUGAGACAUUGGAAUGAAGGGUUGUUUUUAAGACUCUUUAUCUCUCCCCUCCAGUUUCGUACAAUGACCCCCGACGCUGAUCUGGACCUGUUUGCAUCAAAAGCUGCAUCAAAUUGUAUUGUGUCCUCCAUUUUCUCCUCCAUAUGUCUCUGUAUUCUGGCAGUCUUCAAGGUACGUCUUUCCUUACCCACUCCUUCAAGUUCUGCUAUAUAGCUCUCUACUUUCUGUGUAAGGUCCCUUCCUGAUGUGUUUUUUCUCAUGUACCAUUUGAUUUCGUGAGCUCCAUAUGAUCCAUAGCGCAACAAAACAUCUGACACUGUUCCUUAGUUUCUUUUGCAAAUACCCAUGUAAGCCAUGUUCUGGUAUUUUGAUCUGAAUAUGAUGUAACCCAAUCCAUGUUAAUAUUCUGCCAAACUUCAGUAAUUGUAGGGCAUUGCUGGAAUACAUGGAAGCUGUCCUCUUCCUCGGAGCCACAACGAGGGCAUCUCAUGUUUGUGGUUAUUCGCUUGUAUCGUAGGUUGGCUAGUGUAGGAAUAUAAUUCCAGGAUAUCCGCUAGACAAACAGUAGAGUUUUUGAUGGAAGUUGUAAAUCCCAUAACUUUCUAUAGAAUUCUUUAAAAUCUGUCUAUAAUAAGUUAUUAAAAAUCGAAUCAGCUUCUUGUAAUAGUUUAUAGUCACUCCGUACAGAGAACUCUCCGGUCGGUUCACCUUUCCAAACGCGUAAGUCUUCACUGUUCGUUUCUGCAAGUGGUAUCUCCAAAAAUUUUUGAGCUAUAUCUGAUACUAAUAAUGACCUCUGUUUUCCACUUCUUAUUUGUUUCAUCAAUUAAACCUGAUACUAUUUUUAGUUCCCUAUUUUCAUCUCCGUUCUGCCAUGUACUAGGUUCAAUCCUUGGAAUCCACCGAUUUGUCCAGAAGGAAACAUUGUUUCCUCUCCCAACUCUCCAACUUAGCCCCUGAAGGAGGAGUCUCUUUGUUGCCCAGAUGCUCUUCCAGGUAAGAGAAGGUAAAUUCCCUAACUCUGCACUUAAAAAAUCUGAUUGUGGAUAAUACUUUACUUUAAGGACUCUAGCUAAAAGUGAAUUUGGAUAAUUAAAAAGAUGCCACCCCUGUUUGGCUAAUAACACAAUAUUAAGCUGACUGAGAUUACGAAAACCCAAACCUCCCUUUUCUUUUAAACUGCAAAGAUUAUUCCAAGAGCACCAAUGAAUUCCCCCUUUACCAUGACCCUUUUCCCACCAAAAUUUUGCGAUAAUUGCUUCCAUUUCUUCGCAUAAAGUUUUUGGGAGUAAGAAGCAAGCCAUUGAAUAUGCCGGGAUGGCCUGUAAUACAGCUUUGAUGAAAACUUCUUUCCCGCCCUGCGAUAAAAAUCUAGUGCUGCAGUUGUCAAUACGCUGCCUUAGUCUAUCUUUCAAAGCCUGAAAAUAAGCCUUUUUUUUUAUCCUACCAUGGUCUGUAACACCCCUUACUCGAGACCGUUUCCGGAGUCGAGCUCAAGGAAUUACUUUAUUUAACUUAUUAGUUCGGGGCAUAAAAGUUUGCUUUUAAAAUUUAUCUCACUAUCUAUGAUAAAGCUGUCCACUCGCGCAGCAGUCACUAAAUCAUUUAUAACUCGAGCUACGAAACUCAAAAUUUAAAUCUAUAAAUUUUCCUUGAAACUAGACUCAUAUAUAUUCUUACCAUUAAUUUUUUAGAAUUUUUGGUUUAGCCAAUUAGUGUAGUUUAUUAGUUAAAGUCUCCCCUGUUUCACUACUCGAUUGUCCUAGCCUCUUGCCACUAAAAAUAAGUUUUCUCAUUUUGGGAAUUUCAUAUGGUGUUCUCACUUGUUUCUACAAAAAAUAGACUCAAUAAGGAAUCUAGACAUAAAAAUUACAACUCAUUUUUUACAAUUUUUAGUGAUUUUCUAAACUCUGAACAGGGGACUCCAAAAACGGUUCUGACCCUGUCUCACCAAAAUUCGUAUAUCUCAAAAUAUAAAAUUUCUUUUGCUAAAACGUUAUUUUUUCAUGAAAAUAGACUCAACAAAAUUUCAGUAUAUAUAUCAUACACCCUCUAAUUCAUUUUAUACUAUCCUAAGUGAUUUUUCAAAAUCACGUCAUUGCUACUGUUUGAAAUCUGUUUCUUUGCAAAUUAUUACUCUUUCAUGAUUUUUAUGCAUAAUUUAUCACAUAGACAUGUAUAACAACAAACACCUUCAUACUUAACUAUUUUGACAACAAUUCAUCUUUAGAUAUUUACACAUCAUUAUUUAGCAAAAUCGUAAUACAACAUUCAAAAUAAGUAAGUCCAUAUACAUGCCAUAGUUCAAACAUAGUUCAUCACAAAAUACCGAGUCGUUGUGGUUGAUAGUGUGGAUGAUCUCCGACGUCUUUAGGAUCCUCGACUUUGAUUAAUAAUGCUAUAUAAAAAGAAAAUAAACAAAGUAAGAAUAAUGCUUAGUAAAUUUACAAGUAAAUAAAUAGCAACAUUUAACACAAUUAAUAAUACUCAAGUGACAUAAUCUUUAAUUUCCUCUUUACUUACUUCCUUACUCGUUCUCUUGCUUGUUUACUUAGUUAACUCAUAAUUAUGACUUACUUUUCUCUUGCUGAAACGUUGAUUCUCAAUGGGUAACAUAAUAUACUCUUAGCUCUUAUAACUCACUUGAACUUGCCAUUUAUGUUUUUAACUAAACUUUCAUGAACAUAAGUUAUUUACUAGCCUGUUGAGCCACAUUGGAACAAUAAUGAUACUUGGGUCUCUUUCUGAUAAUAACAUGCCAAAACCAUGUCCCAGAUAUAGUCUUACAUGGGAUGUUUCAUGUGCUACCAAUGCCAUGUCCCAGACAUAGUCUUACAUGGGAUGUUUCAUGUGCUACCAAUGCCAUGUCCCAGACAUGAUCUUACGGGGGACCUCUCAUCUCGGUGCCAACGCAAUGUCCCAGACAUGGUCUUAUAUGGGACAUCUCAUCUCGGUGCCAACGUCAUGUCCCAGACAUGGUCUUACAUGAGACCUCUCAUGAUCUCAAGGAUGCCAAUGCCAUGUCCUAUACAUGGUCUUACAUGGGAUCUCUUUACCCAAAUGUCAUGACAUUUGCAUCCAAUACGUUCCUCAUGUUUCAACGGGGCCUUUUAACACUGAUUCUCUGUCAUCUCAUACUUGAGUUAACAUUAGAUAUUUUCAUGAAAUAAAUACAUAAUUGCUGAAAAAUAACAGUAUUAAUAAUAAUUUUUAAAAUAUUGCAUUAAUUUACCGUAAACUUACCUCGAUACCAAAUAUAGUCAAAUCUACCACUUAGUCUUCAAUCUUAUUCUUUCCUUGAUCUAACCUCAAAUUCUAUUCUUUUUGAUCUAUAAUAGCAAAUUUAACUUAUUUAAUACUUACAUUCAUUAAAACAUCCCUCGACUUCAACUUUGGAAAAAUUACAAUUUUUCCCCUAAACUUUUACAUAAUUACAUUUUUCCCCAAAGCUCAGAAAUUAAACUUCAUCUCUUAUUCUUAUGUUUUACAACAUGCUGAACAUUUUUCUCUUCUAUGACAACAUCAAAUUCUUACUCUAAAAUCUACUUAUGAACAUUAGGUAUUUUACCGAUUAUGGAGUUUUACUCGUUUUCGCUUAAAAUCGACUAGCAAAAGUUGUUUAACAUAAUUUUUAACUUCAUAUUAUAUCUUAAAACAUCAAAAUAAACACUUUUCACCUAUGAGUAUUUUUUCAAAUAUAAACCCUAGGUUAAAUUAUUACUAGAAUAAACUAAAUUAAGCUACCGGGAUCGCAAAAAUGUAAAGAACAUUAAAAACGGGGUUUGGAAUCACUUACUAUGAGCUUGAGAAAGUGUGAAAACCCUAGCUAUGGUGUCCAAAUUUUGGCAGCAAGCUUUUUUGGAGAAGAUGAUAUUUUUGCCAUCUUUUUCCCUUUUUAUUCUUUUUAUUAUUCAAUGACUAAAAUGCCCUUCAUUAAAACUUUAGUUAUUUUUAUCUAUGCAUGUCUAUUUUUUUCCAUGGAAAUUUUAUGGUCUAAUUGCUAUUUAAGGACCUCUUCUUUGAUUAUGCACUUCAAAUAAAUCCUUUAUCAUCUAAAACUCAUAUUUACCCACUUUUGCAGUUAAGUCCAAAUAGGCAAUUUAGGCAUGCAAUCAAUAAAAUUUCUUAUCAAUACUCUAGUACUUAUAUCUAAUUACUAGAUAAAUCAUAAAAAUUAAUAAUAAUUUUAUCUUUAAAUUGGAUUUGUGGUUACGAAACUACUAUUCUGAUAACCUUAAAUUUGGGCCAUUACAUGGUCGGCAAACCUAGAUAACAUUCUGGUUCAUUUGAGCUUCGGAUUCCUAGCAAGUUUACCACCUGACUUCUUUCUUCUGCCAUCGUAUUUUUGCUGGAAAAAUAGUUGAUUUGUCCAUAUUCACACACUGUCCUGAACCUCUUUUAUACUCACUUUUGAUUUCCUUGAUUGUAUUAUCCCCUCUACAUGUUGCCUCCCCAAAAAGAAUGCAAUCAUCUGCAAAUAAUAAAUGUGAUACCUGUGGUCCUCUUCUGCUUACUUUGACACCCUUCAAAAAACCUUCAUUUGUUGCUUUUCUCAUAAGACUGGAAAGGCCUUCCCCACAUAUUAAGAAAAGAAAUGGACUCAAAAGAUCACCUUGUCGAAGUCCCCUCGAUGGACUGAAUGUCACCCCGACAUUUCCAUUUACCACAACCUUGUAAGAAACAAUAGUCAUGCAUUUCAUAAUAGUAUCAAUCCAACUUCGAGCGAAACCCAUUCGACACAUUAUUUCUUUAAUAAAAUUCUAUUCAACUCUAUCAUAAGCUUUACUCAUGUCCAAUUUUACAGCCACAUAGCCCUUUUUCCCCACUCUUUUCUGUUUUAGGGAACGCAAUAUCUCGUAAGCAAGCAAAAUAUUAUCCGAGAUUAAUCUUCCUGGCACAAAGGCACUUUGUGCACUAUCAAUGCAUUUAUCAAUCACUCCUCUAAAUCUGUUCGCUAUAACUUUUGCCAUUAUUUUAUAAAUGACAUUGCAUAAACUAAAAGGCCUAAAAUGUGUCAUAUUAGCCGGGUUAUUAAUUCUUUGAAUGAGCACAAUAUGAGUUGUAUUAAUUGAACUAACCUCCAUAUCUUCAUUCAAGAGUUGUAGACAGAAGGAAACUACAUCAUCUCCAAUAAAAUGCCAAUACUUCUGAUAAAAUAAAGCUGGGAAUCCAUCUUCGCCUGGUGCCUUAGUGGGUGCCAUCUCGAACAAAGCCUCGCGGAUUUCUUCUCAUGUAUAUUGCACAGUCAGCUUUUUAUUUUCCUCUUUAUAGAUACAUCAACCAAUACCCGAGAGUAAAUAGUCGAGAUUCUCUUGAUUCUCUGAAGCAAAUAAAUUCUGGAAGUAGGACCUUGCUAUUUCUUCCAUUUCCUGGGGAUCUCCCGUAUCCCUUCCAUGUGCAUUUUGUAACCUCCUGAUCUUGUUUUUCCUCUGUCUUUGGGUUGUCUGGCUAUGGAAAAAAGCUGUAUUUUUGUCACCUAAUUUUAACCAAGUCAAUCGAGCCCUUUCCUCCUUAUAUCUUUCCUCCUUCUCAAACUCCAUAUUUAGUUGAAUCUUCGUAUCGAUCAUCUCCGCCAUGUUAAUGUCGUCCCUGUCAGCAUUGAGCAGCUCAGAUAGCUUUGUUGUUAAAAAUCUCUUUUCCAUUUUUCUUGUUUCGUAUUUUCCCAGCCCAAUUUUCAAGCCCUUUAUUUAGGAUUUUCAUUUUCUACAAAAAAUUACCUAGUGUCAUCUUCCACAGCUGCUAGCUUAAGCAACAAAUGAGUCCUCCAAAAACCACCAGUUUUCAAUUUUGAAUAUAUUCCCAUUUUGUCGUCUUGUUUCCUUUUUAGUAUCAAUUAAAAUGGGACAAUGAUCAGAAAAAGAAUGAACCAAAUGUUGAGCUUUAACGUCAGAAAAUAAUGAAAUCCAUUCCUUAUUUGCCACCCCCUAUCCAACCGUUAUCGUAUAUUUUUUUGGGAGAUUACCUCUUUCCCAUGUGAACCAUUUGCCCGAAUAACCCACAUCAUUCAAUUGACAAAACUCCAGCGCUUUUCGAAACAUUUCCAUCUGUCUUUCAUCACGGGGCAAGCCUCCCUUCUUCUCAAAACCAUACAUGACUUUAUUGAAAUCUCCACAUACUAACCAUGGUAUAUUAUCUCCAUUAGAGAGAUUUUUGAGAACAGCCCAUGAAUCUUCUUUAUCUUGUGCGUACAGGGUACCAUAGAAACCUGUAAAAAGCCACAUAACCUCCCUCUCAUUGUCAUGGACUAUCGCGUCAAUAUGCCUUUUAGAGAAAUUUUUUAAAGAAAUAUUAACGCCAUUCUUCCAUGCCAAACAUAGCCCUUCUCUAGUUCCCUCUACGUCCACCUCAAUGCCAUUCACAAAACCACAUCUCUGUCAAACUCUUUCCAUCUGUUUUCCGUAAAGUUUAGUCUCCAUAAAGAAGACUAUGUGGGGAUCACAAGUCUUCAGCAAGUGCCGAAGUCUUCUAACUGUCCGUGGACUCCCCAAUCCACGAAAAUUCCGACUUAUUAUUUUCAUAAUGCCCGGUCGGCUUGCCUCUUGGCAGCCGCCGAUGACAAAUGAUUAAGAUCCAUUAAUCUCCUAUUUCUUGCCGGGGAAUUUAACUCCUCAGUCUUUGAUAAGUCGUUACUCUCCCUUCUAGAUCUUUUUUUACCUUCUUCUCCUACUAAGGCUACAUCCUCCAAGUCAUGAUCCAUCGCAUGUUGACCAUGGUCUGUCAGUGAGCUAACCUGCUUUGCAUAAUCAAAUAGUAAGCCACCUUCCAGAUUAAUACUGAGAACUGGUUCAAUAGCCUUCCCAAAACUCUUCCUGUGCUCCAUUUUCUGUGGUCCAUUCAUAAAUCUCAUGUUUGCCUCCUGAAUCCCGUCUGAACUCCCCUCCCCUUCCUCUCGUAGCCAGACAAUAUUCAUAGUCAGAGCUCUUCGGGAUUGUGCUUUUAUUGAUAAAUCCCACCCCAUUUCAGCUAUUUUCACUCCAGUCAUCGUUUUUGCCUUACAAAACGAGUCAUUAUGGCCUAGUUUUCCAUAAUAGAAGCAGAAAAGAGUCAAUCUUUCAUAUUUAAAACAGAUAUAUGAUCGUCUCCCACAGAAUUCGAUCAACUUAGACCCUAACCCUCAUAAAGUUUCUAUUUUCUUUCCAUAAAUUUGACACAUCAUAUUCCAUAAAAUACCCCAAAAAAUUCCCUAGAUUCACUGCUAAAUUUUUAGAAAACAAACCAAUGGGCACUUUAUGUAUCUGAACCCAGAAAGGGGUUAGCACUAAAGGGACCUGCAACGAAUCCUCCCCCCACCACAGUCUAUAAAAUAUCAAUAGAUGAUUAUUGAAGGUCCAUGGGGAGCCUUUCAAAACCCUCUCCAUAUCCAUAGAAUGAAAAAAUUAGAACAAAAACCUUUUUCCCCCCAAAUCCCGAAUGCAAACUCCUCGAACAGGAUGCCAUAGUACUUUUCAUGGCUGGAAAGUGAAUUAUACUCGUUGUAAGAAAACACCCCACUAAUUGAAAAAACUAUUCACUUCUUUCCGUACCUAGAUUUUUUUGAAUUUUAAUAACAUCUUUCUCUUCGUUGAUCGAUAAUUGGGCUAAUUCAUUCUCUAUAAUUUUUAGGGACACAACGCCGUAAGCCAAAAAGAAAGACAGAAGAACAAAAAACCUAAAAUUUUGCCAAAGGCAGUAGACACAAACGUGCUAGGCGUUGCUGAAUUAAAAGAACUUACAUCAACAAGAAUAAUCACAAAUGGAAAUGAGCUUUUCGACAGAAUAUGAAACUAAUUAUUCAAGCUCAAUAAAAAAAUAUGUUUUUGUUCUUUUUUUUCUUUUCGAUUUAUUUUUUUUUUGAGAAAUAAGAAAUAAAAUUCAACAAUUUCAAAAAAAAAUGAAACAUAGUUAGGCAACUAACCAAAUCAAAUCUUGACAAAAAGGGGAGUCAAUAAAAACAACAAUUAAGGUGGUUAAAUGGGUUAAAUCUUAAGUGUCUCUAUAAUGUCAAUAUAUUAAAUCAAUAAUGUGGUCUAGAUAUGUAUAAUAUAAGCAAGUUCUAGAAUAACAAAUGAAGUUGACAUACUUUCAACCAAAAAUAAAAUGAUCACGAAUAAAUAUAUGCUCUAUAGGCUCAAAGGCUCACAAAAAAUUAAGGUUUUGAUGUCAAACUUGCAAUUUCAGAGUUUGAAGAUAAUAAUUCAAUUCAGGAAGGCAACCUAAAAUAUUUAUUUCUUAAAAAAUAACUUAUCAUGCUUGACUGUCUCGUGCCUUAAAGACACACAAAUUAAUCCAAAACAAUAUCAAUAAAAAUUUCAAAUAAAAAAAUUCACUCUAAUGGAUAACCUCCUCAGACUUAAGAUAUACAUUGUCCUUAAUGUGCAAAUAGAUGUAAGCACAGAAUAAGACAAUAUCAAAAGAGAGGGAGAACUGAAACUGCCUUGAAUAUGGAUGAAUUCGCCAUAAUAGUGAAAACUGGAAUCGUAAGCGAGUUUAAAUGAAAUGCAUGUUUCUGAGCAAACUAAUAAGAAAAUGAACAAAAAUAAAUAAGAAGGUAAAGAGAUUACAAACUCGAACAAAAAAACCAUCAAAAUAAUAAAAAUAACAACAUAGUUUAAAAUAGAAAUAAAAUAAAUUAGUAUCACAAAAAAUACAACAAUUAAAAAUAAAAGCACAAUUGAAAAUAAAACAAAUAAAGCAAAUAAAAUGAAAAAAUCAGUGAUCGUCGUCGUGAGAGGCGUCAGGAUCGCGCGGAACAUAAGCAGAAUGAGAGAUAUGGAGGUGUUGGUGAAUCGAUGCAAGGUCGCGUAAAUGUUUGUUGAACAGUGCUAACUGUUACUUGACGUACUCAUAAUGUAACCGCUCGAGGUGAUUUAGCCGAUGUGAAAUAUCGUCGAGUGUGACUGAAUGUGCAGGUGUGGUAGUAGAAGGGCUUGGAGAAGUGGGAAUGGGUCGCAGUGCUGGGGGGAGAUCAUUGUUAAGGUGCUCAUUAUCCUUGUGCUAUUAAGUCGCUCGUAGCAACACAUACUGAUCACCGAAAGGCCCAGACUAACGAGCGAUCAUCCUCAUGUGUUUCAUAAUAUUUAAACCUUGUGGUGUCAUGUCCCCAACCAAAGUAAGAGUACUAAUCUGUUCUCGAGUCUCGAUAAGACUGAAGAGACUAGUCAAGAGUGUGAUAUAUAGACCCAUACAAAGAGGUCCUCUCCGUGACCUCUCACCCUGAUUACAACAACACUGAGCUACGAAGUGGGAUAGAUCAAUCAGAUGUUGUCUGUGCAUGCUCUAUAAGAAAUGUGCAUCUAAAGUGCCCAUGACGCUUGUAACGACCCAUUUUCAGUGGUGUUAGAAAUAGUGAUUUUGGGACCACAAUUCUGACGAGUGAAUUAUUAUUUUAUCAUUUAUUUAAUGUUUAUUGGAUUAUAUUAAUGUCGUAUUAAAAUUUUGUUAAGAAAUUUUGAUGUUUAAAUGGUUAAUUAGGUGAAAAGGACUAAACCGUAAAAAGUGUAAAAGUUGAGAGUUCUAUUAGUUAAAGUGGUCCAAUGACUAUGAAAUCAAAAAACUAAAAGGAUUGAUUGGUAAAUAUACCAUUUAAAGUGUCAAUAGAUGUGCAUGGACAAGGUUUUAAUGAAAUUUUGAUAGUUUUUAAAGGUUAAAAUGACAAUUGAAUAAUUAACUUAAAAACAAAACAAAUUAAAAAUGGUAUCAUCUUCAUCCUUGGCUAUCUCCACCAAAAUUUGAAGAGAAAAACAUGAUUAGGAUAGGGUUGAGAAUUCGAUCAAGUUUCUACUUGUAUGUAAGUGAAUUCAAGCUCCGUUUUUAAUAAUUUUUGUGUUUUUAGUUCAUUUUAGUUUAAUCUAGCUAGCCCGGGGGUUAAUUUGCAAAGCUAUUAAUGGUUGAAAGACUUUUCAUGGAUAUUUUUGAAUAUGUUUUGACGUUUUUUGAUGGAUUAUUUAUCUUUAUUGUAAAAUAAACAUGUUUGUUAAGUGAUUUUUAUUGAAUUUUAGAAAUAUGGAUUAGAUUGUUAAAAGUAUAAAUCCAUGGGUUUUGUUGUGAAAUGUUGGUAAUAAUGGGUUGUUUCAAGGUCUCUUUGAACAUUGGUUAAGUUGGAUUUAGGUUAAAAUGAUUAGAGUUUAAGUUAUGAGCUUGAGGACUAAAUUGUGAAAAGUCAAAGUAUUAGGGUAAAUUUUGUAAUUCUUCAUAAAUAUUAAUUAUGGAUUAAAUUUAAUUCUAGAAGUACUUAAUUGAAUGAAAUUAUUUAUUUAGAUCAAGAUAAACCACAAUCAUACUUAAAUUGAAGAAAAGCUAAAGCUUCGGAUUAGUGUUCGAUUAUACUUUUACGCCCUAGUUAUCGAGGUAAGUUCGUAUGAACUAUGAUCGUUUUAAUGUUAGUUAAAUUGACUAUUUGAUGUGUUGUUUUAAUAUAAAUGAAUCUAUGUAUAAAUGUAUCUAAGUUAUGAUGAUUUGACAGAUAACGAGUCUUGUUUGAACCUUAAGAAUUCUUAGGAUACAAAUGACAUGUCAUUUGGGAUUUCAUGUUUCGGGUGUUGGUUUUGAAUGUCCUAUCGAUGACCGAGGUCCUGUAUUUGUUGCGAGUUUUUCAUAGCUCGUGUGGGCAGCAUCGUGUAGCUAACAUUCUGACCCAUAACUCAUGUGAGCAGACCUAUUUCAUAGCUCGUGUGAGCAUUAAUGUAAAGGAAAUGUUACGGUUAUAUGGAAAGGCACACUACGUGUGAGCAUUCCUGAGUAUCUGAUGUAAUUUUAGAUGGUUCAAUGGGUAAGAAAAGGAAAUGAAAUGGUAAGUAUGCAAAUGGAAUGAAUCAUGAUUUUAUAAUGACAUUGAUGAGUUAAAUGAUGUGUUUAUAUAUGGUAAACUACAUAUCUUAUGGUUGAUUUCAUUUGUAUCAUGAACAAGUAUACUAACUUGUUAGUUUGAUGAUGUUGUAUAGGCUUUUACUAAGCUUAUGGCAUUGGUAAUGAUUUAUGCUUAAUCUAUGAAUUGUAUAAAUGAAAUGGUAAGUUAUGCUAAGUUUUUACGAGCUUACUAAGCACUCGUUGCUUACAUAGUUACUUUCUUUUGUUUUAUAGAUUAUUUAAAGCUCGAUCGGUUGGAAGUUAAUCGAAGACCUAUCACACUAUCCAACAAUCAUUUCAAUAGUUUUUUUUUGUGUGUAUUUUGGCCAAGGUUAAUAAUGACAUGUAUAAGAUCUUUGUAAUGUAAGUUUUGGUAUGUUUAAGCUUUUGCAGUUAUGUUGGUUUGGUGCACUUUGAUAUCUUACCAAGUUAUGUCAUAUUGGUCACUUAAGUGCUUUUAAACAAAGUUCUUUUGGUAUGUUUUGAUGGCUUGAAAAUGGCCAUAUGUGGUAGUUAAUUGAACUAGGUUAUUAUGCUUGGGAAUAUACAAUAUUGACUUGUUUUGGUAAGUGAUGUUUUGAUAUAUUUGUGGUGCCUUUGAGUGGCAUAUUGGUUAGAUGAAUUAGGGUGUUUGAAAAGGCAUGUUUUUGUGUAUUUGAAUGAAGUUUAAAUUCCUUGAAUGUAUGCCCAAAUGGUUUGAAUGGUUAGGUAUGAAUUGGACUUGAAAUGGCUUGAUUUUAGGUUAAAUUUUGGGUUCACAUGGCCUGGGACACGGGCUGUCACAUGGCCGUGUGACACACACAGCCUGGCGACACGGUCGUGUGUCAUUUCAAAUUUUUUAGUGAUUCAAGUCAGUGAGUUACACGGCCUGACACACAGGCGUGUGUGGCAACUCAGAGAGUUAUACGACCAUGUGACCCUUCUCAGUGAGUUACACGGGUGAGGAAACAUGCUAGGACACCGUCGUGUGUCCUUUGUUCGAAUGUGUCACGGCUUGGCCACACGACUGUGUGACCCCCGUUUUCAUAUUUUUGCAUCUUUUUCUUAAAAUUUCUAUUUUGUUUCGAUUCAGUCCUGAAUUGUUUCUAAGCUAUUUUUAGGGCCUCGAAGGCUCGAUUUAGGGAUAAAAUGCAUAUGAAUGAUUGGUUUACAAUAAAUUUAAUUUAUUUUAUAUUAUAGUGUUAAAUGAUUUUCGGUUGAAAGGUAAUGCUCUGUAACCCUAAUCUAGCGACGGAGACGAGUUGGGGUGUUUCAAUGCUUGUACUAUUCUUUCGUCUAGUUAAAGUAUGAACUAGAAUGACAUGAAUAUAUUACAAGGUUGGAGGGAGGCACUUAGCCUUAGACUGGCUCGGGUUGCACGGAAUGACAGCCUCAGAGAUUUCUGACGAACAUAGAAAGAUCGAUUAAUGGAUGUGUUGUGGGACGGAUGAGAGCUCGGUCACUACUAAGAAAUCAUUAGAAUAUAGGCUGAGAGUGACAGCAAAAAUUGCAAUACUAAAGUGUUGAGUGAUACCCUCAAGACAGAAUGAUAUAGCUCGUGGGUCAUCCCCCGAGAAUAAUACAGUCGGUAGGAAGAAUGUGGAGAAAAACUUGAAUGUAAGCUCAACAUAUGUCGACUCCACGAUCGUGAAGAAUCGAUCCCAUGGGGUUGCGAUUAAAAGAGAAUGAAUCGGUGUGAAUAAGUCCACAAUAUGGAAGGCAUCCCAAUCUACACGUCUACCCACGCCCAAUGCUCUAUCCUUAAGAUUCUGGCACUCUCCACAUAGGGUGGAUGGUCGAAGGUGAGGUAUUGGUAACGAGUGGUUGUUAUCGGAGAGGAUGAAGAUGAGGUCCAUGUGGCUUUUCUUUUAUUAGAAUAAGUGGGGACCCCACUUUUUCCUCGUCGGUUUUGCAUUUUGUAUCUGAAAUAAAAUAUAAUAACCAAAUAUCAGAUAACCAAAAAUCAAAACCACAAAAAAUAAAUCUAGCAAAUAGACAAAUCAACAUACGAAAUAAAACAUAUCGGCAAGCGAACUACCUCACGAUAAAAGUCAAAUCACAACGAGUCUAACCGAAAUCUACUUCGAAUACAAAACUUGAGCUAAUACUAAUACUAUUGAGGCAAAAAAAAAUUAAACUAACCAACUAAAACUAAUAAUAAUAGAAUAAUAAAAUAAUAACAAUAAUACUAAUACUAAACAAAAUAAACAUAUUAAUAAUAGUAGGAGUAAUAAUAAUUAAAAUAAUAAGAAAAUAAAUAAAAACAAAAAUAAUAAAAAUUAAAUAAAAUGAAAUGAAAGAAUAGGGUUGAGCCAAACGGUGGUAACAGCAAUGGUUGGUGGCGAUGGUGAAUGGAGGCGCGGUGGUAGAAGCGAGUGAGGACGUGGGAGAGGGCUGAUGGUGGUAAUGCACAGGUGAAGAGGGUUAGAACAGAGGGAAAAAAACCAGACGGUAGAGGAAAUGGCAUGAUUGACGGUGGGGGAAGGAAAUGGAAAAAGAGAAGCGCGGGAAGGAAAGGAAACGACAUGAUCGACGGUAGAGGACGUGUGUCUAGCCAAUGUGGAAUGGCCCAGCUUGUGUGGCUCUGAAAGAUUCCUCCGAUUUUUUGAUUUUCGCUCCUUUUGCUUCCAAAUGCUCUCCUAAGUAUAAAAACAUGAAUAUAUAGGAUUAGGGGCAUAAAAUUCACCAUUUUAAAUCGAAUAAUGAUCCAAAACUGCAUUAAGAAUAAGGCUAAAACAUGUUACUUUUGGCAUUUAUCAAUAGGAAAUGGGUUGGUUUGAAAAUAAAUGGAUUGCUUGUCGUAGAAUAUUAUUCUCGGCAUAACUCAAAAUAUAAAAUUUUAAAAAUUAUAUUUAAUACAAUAAAACAUUUAUUAUAUUUAUGGUAGUAUUUUUUAAUGUGGUAUGAAACUCUUAGUUGAUGAAACGUGUUUAGUGGUAGAUUGAAUAGCCUAUUAGAUCAUUAAUUCUGAAGCCAUUAAUCAUAUUUGUGUUUAUUGCAG
rnacentral:lncRNA from 1 species